rnacentral:rRNA from 1 species
AGUCUAGUGGCAGACGAGAGAGUAAUAACAAGGAACUUACCCCCGAGUGAAGGAUAGCCCACCGAAAGGUGGGGUAAUCCUGCAUAAUAUCGAAAGAUCAAAGCCGUAAGGCGCUUGGGGAGAGGCCUUGUCCCUAUCAGCUAGUUGGUGAGGUAAUUGCUCACCAAGGCGAUGACGGGUAGCUGGACUGAGAGGUUGACCAGCCUCGAUGGGACUGAGACACGGCCCAUACUCCUACGGGAGGCAGCAGUUGGGAAUUUUGCACAAUGGAGGAAACUCUGAUGCAGCAACACUGCGUGAAGGAUAAAGGUUUUCGGAUUGUAAACUUCUUUUAUCUGGGAAUAAUCUUGAAGGUACCAGAUGAAUAAGCACCGGCUAACUACGUGCCAGCAGCCGCGGUAAUACGUAGGGUGCAAACGUUAUCCGGAUUUAUUGGGCGUAAAGAGCUCGUAGGUGGUUUUGUAAGUUGGAUAUUAAAUACUUUGGCUCAACCAAAGAAAUGUAUUCAAAACUGCAUAACUUGAGGUAUGUAGGGGAGGAUGGAACUUACGGUGUAGCAGUGAAAUGCGUAGAUAUCGUAAGGAACGCCAAUGGUGAAGACAGUCCUCUGGACAUUACCUGACACUGAGGAGCGAAAGCGUGGGUAGCGAACGGGAUUAGAUACCCCGGUAGUCCACGCCGUAAACGAUGCAUACUAGGAAUGUGGAGAAUCGACCCUCUGCGUUUCGAAGCUAACGCGUUAAGUAUGCCGCCUGGGUAGUACGGCCGCAAGGCUAAAACCCAAAGGAAUUGACGGGGACCCGCACAAGCGGUGGAACAUGUGGUUUAAUUCGUCAGCAAGCGAAGAACCUUACCAGGGCUUGACAUCUCCGGAAUCUCUUGGAAACAAGAGAGUGCCUUCGGGAGCCGGAUUACAGGUGCUGCACGGUCGUCGUCAGCUCGUGCUGUGAAGUGUCCCGUUAAGUCGGUCAACGAGCGCAACCCCUAUUGCAUGUUGCAUUCUCAUGCGAGACUGCCGGCGUUAAGUUGGAGGAAGGUGGGGAUGACGUCAGAUCAGCGUGGCUCUUACGUCCUGGGCUACACACGUGUUACAAUGGGUAGAUCAAAGGGUCGCUAAACCGAAAGGUGGAGCUAAUCCCAUCAAACCUACCCCCAGUUCGGAUUGAGGGCUGAAACUCGCCCUCAUGAAGUCGGAAUCGCUAGUAACCGUAGGUCAGCCAUACUACGGUGAAUACGUUCUCGGGUCUUGUACACACCGCCCGUCAAGUCAGGAAAGCCGGUAACGCCCGAAGCGCCCAACAGGGCACCACGGUGGGAUCGGUGAUCAGGACUGAAAAG